rnacentral:rRNA from 1 species
UACGUAGGGUGCAAGCGUUAAUCGGAAUUACUGGGCGUAAAGCGUGCGCAGGCGGUUUUGUAAGUCUGUCGUGAAAUCCCCGGGCUCAACCUGGGAAUUGCGAUGGAGACUGCAAGGCUAGAAUCUGGCAGAGGGGGGGUAGAAUUCCACGUGUAGCAGUGAAAUGCGUAGAGAUGUGGAGGAACACCGAUGGCGAAGGCAGCCCCCUGGGUCAAGAUUGACGCUCAUGCACGAAAGCGUGGGGAGCAAACAGGAU